GGAGAAUGGCCGUAGAUAUGAUGCAGAUAAGCAAGAAAGAAAAAUUAAGGACAAAAAGACAGAGCAGUUUCUAAAAAAUCAGAUUGUGCACUUCAAAAGAAUACCAUAAAGGCUCAUCAUCUUAAUCAAUUAUUGAUUACACCUUGGGACUUUCCACCAAUUCCAUUUGAUGCUGCUUUUAAAAUGGGGGCAUUGGACUAGAUGACCUUUAAAUGUCCCUUCUAUGAUUCUAUGAAAGGAAGGAAGGAAAAACAACAUUACUGCCCAUAGGAGAAGAAACUUUACACAGGAGACGGAACAAGCGAGCCUUACAUAUAAGGACUGGACACAAAAAAACUUGGAAGCUGCAGAAGUUUAAAUAGAAGCAAUACACUACAGGUAACAAAACUACUCAUAUCUUUGAAGAGUAUGUCAGGUAGUAACUUUAGAAAAACACAUGUGUUUUGAAAUUUUG
rnacentral:lncRNA from 1 species